rnacentral:snRNA from 1 species
UGCUGCCACGAUCCACUGA